UACGUAGGUGGCGAGCGUUGUCCGGAUUUACUGGGCGUAAAGAGCGCGCAGGCGGUCGUACAAGUCGCGUGUGAAAGCCCCCGGCUCAACUGGGGAGGGUCACGCGAUACUGUUCGACUCGAAGGCAGGAGAGGGUAGUGGAAUUCCCGGUGUAGUGGUGAAAUUCGUAGAUAUUGGGAAGAACACCAGUGGCGAAGGCGGCUAACUGGUCCAGCACUGACGCUGAGGUGCGAAAGCGUGGGGAGCAAACAGG
rnacentral:rRNA from 1 species